rnacentral:rRNA from 1 species
CCCUUAGAUGUCCGGGGCCGCACGCGCGCUACACUGAAGGAAUCAACGUGUGUCCUCCCUGGCCCGGAAGGGUGGGGUAACCCGUUGAACCUCCUUCGUGCUAGGGAUUGGGGAUUGGAACUGUUCCCCAUGAACGAGGAAUUCCCAGUAAGCGCGAGUCAUAAGCUCGCGUUGAUUACGUCCCUGCCCUUUGUACACACCGCCCGUCGCACCUACCGAUUGAAUGGUCCGGUGAAAGCCUCGGACCGUGGCAGCGUUGCUUUAUUGGAGCGCCGCCGUGGGAAGUUGUUUAAACCUUACCAUUUAGAGGAAGGUGAAGUCGUANCA